UCCAUAUCACGUUGAAGUACCAGUUCUCAUACGAUUACCAAAGUUAAGCAACGCCGAGCCUGGUCAGUACCUAGAUGGGUGAGCGCUUGGGAAUACCAGGUGUUGUU